rnacentral:scRNA from 1 species
GGUCAGUUGCAGGGUAAUUCAUCAGGGUUCAGUUCUGACCCCACUCAUCAUUUCCCCGCUCCCCGA